UACGUAGGGUGCGAGCGUUGUCCGGAAUUAUUGGGCGUAAAGAGCUCGUAGGCGGCCACUCAAGUCGAAUGUGAAACCUCGAGGCUUAACCUCGAGCCUGCAUUCGAUACUGGGCGGCUAGAGUCUGGUAGGGGGAUCUGGAAUUCCUGGUGUAGCGGUGGAAUGCGCAGAUAUCAGGAGGAACACCGGUGGCGAAGGCGGCGUUCUGGACUGCAACUGACACUGAUAAACGAAAGCCAGGGUAGCAAACGGG
rnacentral:rRNA from 1 species